AACAAUAAUGUAUGUUGAGCACAUUGUGAUGGUUCAUUAUCCCCACUGCACCCCCCCAAAUGUCUUUACUGCUUUAUUCAUGACAAACUAGGGUUUCCUUCUAUGGCAGCAGCAGCAAACAACAAAUAAGCAUGUUCCUUUCCUUCUACACAUAUAAUUAAGUGGCGAAGCUUGCCUUCGAAAUUUGGGUCGAUUUCAUGCUAAAGAUGUGUAUCGGAUACAGCCAGUCGCAAAACAUAUGCCUGUAACAAAACAGUAGCUAAAUUCAUAACGUAUAUAUAUAAUAAGAUUGCAAAGUAGCUAAAAGUUCAUCUCAAAACAGUCGCUAAAAGCUGGUUGCAAAACAGUCAUUAAAAUCCCACCAUUGCUAACGC